rnacentral:rRNA from 1 species
AUAACUACUGGAAACGGUAGCUAAUACCGCAUAACGUCGCAAGACCAAAGAGGGGGACCUUCGGGCCUCUUGCCAUCAGAUGUGCCCAGAUGGGAUUAGCUAGUAGGUGGGGUAACGGCUCACCUAGGCGACGAUCCCUAGCUGGUCUGAGAGGAUGACCAGCCACACUGGAACUGAGACACGGUCCAGACUCCUACGGGAGGCAGCAGUGGGGAAUAUUGCACAAUGGGCGCAAGCCUGAUGCAGCCAUGCCGCGUGUAUGAAGAAGGCCUUCGGGUUGUAAAGUACUUUCAGCGGGGAGGAAGGUGUUAAGGUUAAUAACCUYAKCAAUUGACGUUACCCGCAGAAGAAGCACCGGCUAACUCCGUGCCAGCAGCCGCGGUAAUACGGAGGGUGCAAGCGUUAAUCGGAAUUACUGGGCGUAAAGCGCACGCAGGCGGUCUGUCAAGUCGGAUGUGAAAUCCCCGGGCUCAACCUGGGAACUGCAUUCGAAACUGGCAGGCUGGAGUCUUGUAGAGGGGGGUAGAAUUCCAGGUGUAGCGGUGAAAUGCGUAGAGAUCUGGAGGAAUACCGGUGGCGAAGGCGGCCCCCUGGACAAAGACU